CCACUACGACCGGUCCUACGAGAAACCAGUGCUUGCAAAAGGUUCCAAGGUACGUAUUGAAUAUGCACAAGCCAGCAUUGGGGGAAUGGAUACACCAUCUCACUGCAGUCUGAAUGAAAGUGGUAUGUUGUGAAAUUGCGACAGUAGGUCGAGUAUGUGUAUAGAGGCCAACAUCAAAACCGCUGACAUUGAUUGUCUCAUGACAAUGGCUCCUGUUAGUCGAAGGAAUAUGUUCGGUAGAAACUGAACAGUUAGCUUGAGAAUCUGAAAGAGUUUGAUAAGGGUCAGUUUGAGAGAACCAGAUGAAAACGUCAGAGCUUCUCCUAAACAGCAGGUCUUGUGCGAUGUUCCUGGGUUGCAUUGGUCAGUACCUACCAAAGAUGUCCACGAGAGGACAACCACUGAUGCAGUUACAGAGUUCCAGACACACAAGCUUCACACUGCUGCAUGUGUGGAGUGAAGGCUGGUAUGUGUGGUCGGAUUGUCCCAGAACAAACUGCUACUGUAGAAAAGCUUUACAACACACAAAGCAGCACAGCUUAGUGUGUAAUAGGAUGCAGAGCUGCAGAUCGGAUGGAGUGGCCACAACUAAGCUCCUCAAGAGCAGAAUCCGAACUGGAUCCUGGAGUAACGUGACCUGUUCUAAUGAACCAUGUUUUCUGUCGCAUCAUGUGGACAGUUGGGUCUGUUUGCAUCAUUUCCUGGAGAAGAAAUGGCAGCAGAAUGGGAAGAAGUCGAGCUGGAGGAGGCAGCGUCAGUAAUAUUCUUCUUGGAAACUUUGGUCCUGCAUUCAUGUAGCAGUUUCCUAAACGCUGCUGCAGACCUUCAUGAUGAAACAUGUGAAAGAGUUCAAGGUGUUGACUUGGCAUCCAAUUUCAAAUUCUAAAUGUAAGAAAAGACUCCAAGACCAUAUGUGAAGCUACACUAUGCUACACUAUGUAUUCAGUCACUUUCAAAAGUACCAAUGAAUGCAGGACGGUAUAGUGAAAUACUGGAGGACAACCUGAUGCAGUCUCUAAGAGAACUGCAACUUGGUAGAAGAUUUAGCCAAAGCUACAAAGAGAAUGUGUAAAGAUAACAAGGUGAAUGUUGUCAAGUCAGAGCCCAGAACUCAGUCCAACUGAAAAUUUGUGGCUGGACUUGACUCGGGCUCUGGGGUUAAUUAAAUCAGCAUCUGAGGGACGUGCUGGAAAAACCACAGGACAGGACCUACACCAUAGCACGCAGAUGGUUCUAAUGUUGAUUCUUCAAACUUAAAGAUAAAAACCAGGCAGGCUGUCAUAGCAGAGGACAAAACCUCAUCCACUCCCCAGCUUUAUUCUUUAGGAAACCCAUCAGUUGUGACUCACUACUAUUCAGUCUGUAAAAAUGUUCAAAGCUGCCAAAUCUCACCCACCUCACAGACUCGAAAAUAUUGUAUCCAUGUACAGUUCAAACAGCCUGUUUCUAGGAUUAACCAGAAAAACAACAUGGUAAAGAUGCUACAGAACAGUUCUGCCAUCACUCAGAAUGUGGUUUUAUUACAUCUGUUGGCAGCAGCAGCAGUUAAAUCAACAGUGUGCUCAUGUCCUGUAGUAUAGACGCCUUCAUGACUGCACAGCUGACACAACAAAUGCUGUUCUUAGAUCUGUGACUCUGUCUGCAUCAAAUAUCCUCAGUUUUUAUUUCCCUUGCUGUCGUUAUUUUCUCCUGUAGAUCUCCAGAUUGUGUGAUGAGGAGGCGGCGGCUCAGGAGCAGACCGGUCAGGUGUUGGAGUGUCUGAAAAACAACCUGCUGGAAAUCAAACGAGAGGGCUGUAUAAUGGAAGUCGUGAACAUGCUGAAGCAGAGUAAGGCGGACAUCUUUGUGGACCCGGUCCUCUCCACAUCCUGCGCUCUGGACAUCAAACACCACUGUAACGACAUCCCACCUUUCGGAGGACGACAGAUGUCGUGUCUGAUGGAGGCGUUACAGGAAGGGAGCGUUAGCCUGCAGCCUGAGUGUCAGAAAAGACUUCAAGAUCGAAUUGACAUGUGGAGCUACGCUGCGACGCGUACAGGUGUGGAGCCGCUCUGCUGUCCGACGGACCAGUUCUGGACACAUGAGGAUAGGAUCCCGUCUGAAACCACCAGAUCUACUAUUAGGUGGAUCAUUUUUAUCGCGCAGUCGACCCUUGAUUGGUUUCCACGUCUCCUCCCUUACAUUUAGCUCAACAACUGUGUGUUUCGGUUGUUUAUAUAGAUUUUUAGAUUCAACACUGAUUCAGAUAUGAACACUAAACUGUUGGGAGCAUCUCAGUCACCUAAAAUAAGUCUCAAUCUUUAGUCUAAAGAUGUCAGGUUUUGGGUUUUUCAUGUUUAAGUUUGUGGUUUGUUUUUGAGGGAGCCUCCUCUACCCUGCUGAUCGGAGCAUCGCUACAGCUAACCCAUGUAGACGUUCAAAUCAUGAAGAGAGAUAUUAGAAAAAUGAAUGCUAACUGCACCGCUCCUUUGAUUCUUUGUUUUUCUUUCCAACUUUGUAACACGUACAGUUCAUAAAGUGGAAAGCAGCAAUAAAGAGCUUUCUGCAGCUGGAAGUUUC
ensembl:lncRNA